rnacentral:rRNA from 1 species
GAGUUUGAUCAUGGCUCAGAUUGAACGCUGGCGGUAUGCUUGACACAUGCAAGUCGAACGGUAACAGGAGAGAGCUUGCUCUUUUGCUGACGAGUGGCGGACGGGUGAGUAAUGCGUAGGAAUCUGCCUAGUAGUGGGGGACAACGUGUGGAAACGCACGCUAAUACCGCAUACGCCCUACGGGGAAGGCGGGGAGUCUUCGGACCUCGCGCUAUUAGAUGAGCCUACGUUAGAUUAGCUAGUUGGUGGGUAAAGGCCUACCAAGGCGACGAUCUAUAGCUGGUCUGAGAGGAUGAUCAGCCACACUGGGACGUGAGACACGGCCCACGACUCCUACCGGGAGGGCAGC